GAAAAGUUAGUUAAUUGAAUAACAUAAGCCUGUCACGCCUAAAUUAUCGAAUCAUCGAUACUUUU
rnacentral:tRNA from 1 species